GACGAACGCUGGCGGCGUGCUUAACACAUGCAAGUCGAACGGAAAGGCCCUGCUUUUGUGGGGUGCUCGAGUGGCGAACGGGUGAGUAACACGUGAGUAACCUGCCCUUGACUGUGGGAUAACUUCAGGAAACUGGGGCUAAUACCGGAUAGGAGCUCCUGCUGCAUGGGGGGGGUUGGAAAGUUUCGGCGGUUGGGGAUGGACUCGCGGCUUAUCAGCUUGUUGGUGGGGUAGUGGCUUACCAAGGCUUUGACGGGUAGCCGGCCUGAGAGGGUGACCGGCCACAUUGGGACUGAGAUACGGCCCAGACUCCUACGGGAGGCAGCAGUGGGGAAUAUUGCACAAUGGGCGGAAGCCUGAUGCAGCAACGCCGCGUGCGGGAUGACGGCCUUCGGGUUGUAAACCGCUUUCGCCUGUGACGAAGCGUGAGUGACGGUAAUGGGUAAAGAAGCACCGGCUAACUACGUG
rnacentral:rRNA from 1 species